AUUGAACGCUGGCGGCAGGCCUAACACAUGCAAGUCGAACGAGUGGCGGACGGGUGAGUAAUGUCUGGGAAACUGCCUGAUGGAGGGGGAUAACUACUGGAAACGGUAGCUAAUACCGCAUACCAUCAGAUGUGCCCAGAUGGGAUUAGCUUGUUGGUGGGGUAACGGCUCACCAAGGCGACGCUCCCUAGCUGGUCUGAGCGGAUGACCAGUCAACUGGGAAAUUAGACACUGUCCAGACUCCUCCGGGAGGCAGCAGUGGGGAAUUUUGCACAAUGGGCGCAAUCCUGAUGGAGCCAUGCCGCGUGUAUGAAGAAGGCCUUUGGGUUGUAAAGUACGUUCAGCGGGGAGGCGUUACCCGCAGAAGAAGCACCGGCUAACUCCGUGCCAGCAGCCGCGGUAAUAC
rnacentral:rRNA from 1 species